AUUGAACGCUGGCGGUAUGCUUAACACAUGUAAGUCGAACGAUGAGAAAGAGCUUGCUCUUUCGAUUAGUGGCGGACGGGUGCGUAACGCGUAGGAAUCUACCCAUUAGUGGGGGACAACUUAGGGAAACUUAAGCUAAUACCGCAUACGCCCUACGGGGGAAAGAAGGGGAUCGCAAGACCUUUUGCUAAUAGAUGAGCCUGAGUAGGAUUAGCUAGUUGGUAGGGUAAAAGCUCACCAAGGCGACGAUCCUUAACUGGUUUGAGAGAAUGAUCAGUCACACUGGAACUGAGACACGGUCCAGACUCCUACGGGAGGCAGCAGUGGGGAAUAUUGGACAAUGGGCGAAAGCCUGAUCCAGCAAUACCGCGUGUGUGAAGAAGGCCUUAGGGUUGUAAAGCACUUUCAAUUGGAAGGAAAACCUCGAAGCUAAUACCUUCGAGUUUGACAUUACCUUUAGAAGAAGCACCGGCUAACUCCGUGCCAGCCGCCGCGGUAA
rnacentral:rRNA from 1 species